rnacentral:tRNA from 7 species
UUAAAAAUAAGCUAAAUAAAGCUUUUGGG